GACGAACGCUGGCGGCGUGCUUAACACAUGCCAGUCGAACGGAAAGGCCCUGCUUUUGUGGGGUGCUCGAGUGGCGAACGGGUGAGUAACACGUGAGUAACCUGCCCUUGACUUUGGGAUAACUUCAGGAAACUGGGGCUAAUACCGGAUAGGAGCUCCUGCUGCAUGGUGGGGGUUGGAAAGUUUCGGCGGUUGGGGAUGGACUCGCGGCUUAUCAGCUUGUUGGUGGGGUAGUGGCUUACCAAGGCUUUGACGGGUAGCCGGCCUGAGAGGGUGACCGGCCACAUUGGGACUGAGAUACGGCCCAGACUCCUACGGGAGGCAGCAGUGGGGAAUAUUGCACAAUGGGCGGAAGCCUGAUGCAGCAACGCCGCGUGCAGGAUGACGGCCUUCGGGUUGUAAACCGCUUUCGCCUGUGACGAAGCGUGAGUGACGGUAAUGGGUAAAGAAGCACCGGCUAACUACG
rnacentral:rRNA from 1 species